rnacentral:rRNA from 1 species
AAUCCUGGCUCAGGAUGAACGCUGGCGGCGUGCUUAACACAUGCAAGUCGAACGGAGGACCCUUGACGGAGUUUUCGGACAACUGAUAGGAAUCCUUAGUGGCGGACGGGUGAGUAACGCGUGAGGAACCUGCCUUGGAGUGGGGAAUAACAGUUGGAAACAACUGCUAAUACCGCAUGAUGCAUUUGGGCUGCAUGGUCUAAAUGCCAAAGAUUUAUCGCUCUGAGAUGGCCUCGCGU